rnacentral:rRNA from 1 species
GACGGAGGGUGCAAGCGUUGUUCGGAAUUACUGGGCGUAAAGGGCGCGUAGGCGGUCUGUUAAGUUCGGUGUGAAAGCCCCCGGCUCACCUGGGGAACUGCGCCGGAAACCGACAGACUCGAGUACCGGAGAGGAGGGUGGAAUUCCCGGUGUAGCGGUGAAAUGCGUAGAUAUCAGGAGGAACACCGGUGGCGAAGGCGGCCCUCUGGACGGAUACUGACGCUGAGGCGCGAAAGCGUGGGGAUCAAACAGG